ensembl:snRNA U4 U4 spliceosomal RNA
AGCUUUGCGCAGUGGCCGUAUCAGAGCCAAUGAGGUUUAUACGAAGUGCGAUUAUUGCUAAUUGAAAAACACUUAUCAAGACUCCCCACACACUUGAUAAUGAACUUAGUGAAUUAUACAGGUAU